UGACCGGACAACCGAGGAAACUCGGGCUAAUACCGGAUGUGGUACGGAGACAUAAGUCUCUUUACUAAAGGUAGCUUCGGCUUCCGCAGUUGGGAGGGCCCGCGGCCAUUAGCUAGUUGGUGGGGUCAAGGCCUACCAAGGCAACGAUGGGUAGCUGGUCUGAGAGGACGAUCAGCCACACUGGGACUGAGACACGGCCCAGACUCCUACGGAGGCAGCAGUGGGAAUCUUGCGCAAUGCGCGAAAGCGUGACGCAGCAACACCGCGUGAGGAAGACGGCCUUAGGGUUGUAAACCUCUUUCAGAUGGGACGAAGGUGAUGCGGUGAAUAGCCGAUGUCAUUGACGGUACCGUCAGAAGAAGCUCCGGCUAACUACGUG
rnacentral:rRNA from 1 species